UCUUUGGGUUCUGGGGGGAGUAUGGUCGCAAGGCUGAAACUUAAAGAAAUUGACGGAAGGGCACCACCAGGCGUGGAGCCUGCGGCUUANUUUGACUCAACACGGGGAAACUCACCAGGUCCAGACACAAUAAGGAUUGACAGAUUGAGAGCUCUUUCUUGAUUUUGUGGGUGGUGGUGCAUGGCCGUUCUUAG
rnacentral:rRNA from 1 species